rnacentral:rRNA from 1 species
CAGUCGCCGCGGUAAUACGAAGGGGGCUAGCGUUGUUCGGAUUUACUGGGCGUAAAGGGCGCGUAGGCGGACUGAUAAGUCAGGGGUGAGAUCCCAAGGCUCAACCUCGGAACUGCCUUUGAUACUGUUUGUCUUGAGUUCGAUAGAGGUAAGUGGAACUGCGAGUGUAGAGGUGAAAUUCGUAGAUAUUCGCAAGAACACCAGUGGCGAAGGCGGCUUACUGGCUCGAAACUGACGCUGAGGCGCGAAAGCGUGGGGAGCAAACAGGAUUAGAGACCCCUGUAGUCCCUGUCUCUUAUAU